UACGGAGGGUGCGAGCGUUGUCCGGAAUCACUGGGCGUAAAGGGCGCGUAGGUGGCCCGUCAAGCGCGCGGUGAAAGCCCGGGGCUCAACCCCGGGUCGGCCGUGCGGACUGGCGGGCUCGAGCACUGUAGGGGCGGGUGGAAUUCCGGGUGUAGCGGUGAAAUGCGUAGAUAUCUGGAGGAACACCGGUGGCGAAGGCGGCAUCCUGGACCGGUAUUGACGCUGAGGCGCGAAAGCCAGGGGAGCAAACGGG
rnacentral:rRNA from 1 species